rnacentral:snRNA from 1 species
CGGUUUGACCCAAUAGUUUUCCU